AAGGAAUGAGAUGCUACCUUUUCGGCGCCGUAGCACGUUUCCCCAUCCGCGCUCCAAAAUAGUUCGCGUGAUUUCAAAUGUUUUUGAAUAUUCCCUCAAAGGUACAGGAUCCGUGGUAUAACCUACUGUUGCGCCUAACGCUUGAAGCUAUUGUGUUGCAAUUCAUGCAAUAUUGCACUGCACAGUAGUGGAAGCGUCCAUCAGUCGCCAGCGGAAUAGUCAGUCUCUUAUGAAUCGUCCAAGUGUGAGGAUGGCGGUCGCGCAUCUGCAUCAAUUCGCCCUUUAUCUUUGUGAUUUUUUUCCGUUUUAAGGCAUUAUGAGCGCUGACGGAAAGAUAGCAAGCUGAAGCGGAGUGUUUUAGUGACUGUUACCAACCGCGCUGUGUGAAAAGGUUGAGCCUGUACGAGGC